GACGUAGGGCGCGAGCGUUGUCCGGAUUUAUUGGGCGUAAAGAGCUCGUAGGCGGCUCGUUGCGUCGGAUGUGAAAGCCCUUGGCUCAACUGAGGAAGUGCAUCCGAAACUGGCAGGCUAGAGUACUAAAGAGGAUCGCGGAAUUCCCGGUGUAGAGGUGAAAUUCGUAGAUAUCGGGAGGAACACCGGUGGCGAAGGCGGCGAUCUGGGUAGAUACUGACGCUGAGGUGCGAAAGCGUGGGGAGCAAACAGG
rnacentral:rRNA from 1 species